CCUACGGGAGGCAGCAGUGGGGAAUAUUGCACAAUGGGGGAAACCCUGAUGCAGCGACGCCGCGUGAGUGAAGAAGUAAUUCGGUAUGUAAAGCUCUAUCAGCAGGGAAGAAAAUGACGGUACCUGAGUAAGAAGCCCCGGCUAACUACGUGCCAGCAGCCGCGGUAAUACGUAGGGGGCAAGCGUUAUCCGGAUUUACUGGGUGUAAAGGGAGCGUAUACGGCAGUGCAAGUCUGGAGUGAAAGGCGGGGGCUCAACCCACGGACUGCUCUGGAAACUGUACGGCUGGAGUGCAGGAGAGGUAAGUGGAAUUCCUAGUGUAGCGGUGAAAUGCGUAGAUAUUAGGAGGAACACCAGUUGCGAAGGCGACUUUCUGGACAGUAACUGACGUUGAGGCACGAAAGUGUGGGGAGCAAACAGGAUUAGAUACCCCUGUAGUC
rnacentral:rRNA from 1 species